rnacentral:rRNA from 1 species
AAACAUUGCUUUAUGUUUUUUUAUAAGGUUAACCCUGCUCAAUGAUAUAUUAAAUAGCCGCAGUACUUUGACUGUGCAAAGGUAGCAUAAUCAUUUGGCUUAUAAUUGAAGUCUGGAAUGAAUGGGAGUAUGGGUAGUUACUGUCUUACCAUAAAUAAUUGAAUUUACUAAUUAAGUGAAAAUUCUUAUAACAAUAUAAUAGACGAGAAGACCCUAGAAAUUUUAUAUAUUUAUGUGAUUACAUAGGCUAUUUUGUUGGGGCGACAGAACAACAUUUAACUUGUUUAUUACUAUUUGACCUUAUUGAAAAGUGUAACUAAAUUACUCUAGGGAUAACAGCAUAAUACAAAAGAGUUUGUGACCUCGAUGUUGGACUAGGAAUAUUAUUGUUUAGAAGAUAAUAAUAAUAGCUCUGUUCGAGCUAAAAUUCCUACGUGAUC